GAUGAACGCUAGCGGCAGGCCUAAUACAUGCAAGUCGGACGGGAUUGAGAAGCUUGCUUUUCAUGAGAGUGGCGCACGGGUGCGUAACACGUAUGUAACCUACCCAUAUCAGGGGGAUAGCCUCUCGAAAGAGAGAUUAAGACCGCAUAACAUUAUUGAAUGGCAUCAUUUAAUAAUCAAAUAUUUAUAGGAUAUGGAUGGGCAUGCGGAACAUUAGCUAGUUGGUAAGGUAACGGCUUACCAAGGGUACGAUGUUUAGGGGAUCUGAGAGGAUGCCCCCCCACACUGGGACUGAGACACGGACCAGACGCCUACGGGAGGCAGCAGUAAGGAAUAUUGGUCAAUGGACGGAAGUCUGAACCAGCCAUGCCGCGUGCAGGAAGACGGCCCUAUGGGUUGUAAACUGCUUUUGCAGGGGAAUAAACCUCGAUACGUGUAUCGAGCUGAAUGUACUCUGAGAAUAAGGAUCGGCUAACUCCGUGCCAGCAGCCGCGGUAA
rnacentral:rRNA from 1 species